GAUGAACGCUGGCGGCGUGCUUAACACAUGCGAGUCGAACGAAGCACUUUAUUUGAUUUCCUUCGGGACUGAUUAUUUUGUGACUGAGUGGCGGACGGGUGAGUAACGCGUGGGUAACCUGCCUUGUACAGGGGGAUAACAGUUGGAAACGGCUGCUAAUACCGCAUAAGCGCACAGCAUCGCAUGAUGCAGUGUGAAAAACUCCGGUGGUAUAAGAUGGACCCGCGUUGGAUUAGCUAGUUGGUGAGGUAACGGCCCACCAAGGCGACGAUCCAUAGCCGACCUGAUAGGGUGACCGGCCACAUUGGGACUGAGACACGGCCCAAACUCCUACGGGAGGCAGCAGUGGGGAAUAUUGCACAAUGGGCGAAAGCCUGAUGCAGCGACGCCGCGUGAGCGAAGAAGUAUUUCGGUAUGUAAAGCUCUAUCAGCAGGGAAGAUAAUGACGUUACCUGACUAAGAAGCACCGGCUAAAUACGUG
rnacentral:rRNA from 1 species